CUUUGUAAAAUUUUCUGAAAACUUGCCUACUUAUGUUUUCCCCCCUAUUAUAUGGACCCAAACCCCUUUAAAGAAGGGGAUGAUUUGAGUCUAAAGUCAAAGAGAAGGGACCAUUUUCUCAACAUUAUUAAGUCCAAAACCAAAAACAAUUUGUAUACCGAUGGAUUCCUGAAGGAAAAAAACCUAGUCUUUAUUUAGGCCCACUCAAACCCAUCUGAUCUGCAACUUUUUGGAAAUUCGCCAAUCCUAGGUUAUGGCACUUGAAUGCUUCACACAAGUGUUGGGUUCACUAUUUGACAAAAUAUGUAGGGGUGAUGACGACGACCAACUUGCUGAAACUUUUCGAUGCUUGCCUGAUUGUCUCAUCAUUGAUAUCCUGACUAGACUUCCGAUACGUACCCUUGCUAAAUGUCAAAGGGAUUGUAGGGAUUUGAGAGCUUUGAUCUCAUCAGACUAUUUUACCACUUUACAUCUCAGCAGAGCUAGAC